UACGUAGGUGGCAAGCGUUGUCCGGAUUUAUUGGGUUUAAAGGGUGCGUAGGCGGCUUGAUAAGUCAGUGGUGAAAGCCGAUCGCUUAACGAUCGAACUGCCAUUGAUACUGCCAGGCUUGAGUAUAGUUGAGGUAGGCGGAAUUGACAGUGUAGCGGUGAAAUGCGUAGAGAUCGUAAGGAAGACCAGUGGCGAAGGCGAGUUUCUGGACGGUAACUGACGCGUGAGGCACGGAAGGCCAGGGGAGCAAACGGG
rnacentral:rRNA from 1 species